AGGCCAGUCAGUUAGUCUGCUUACCUGAAUGUGUUUCUGCAGAAAUUUAGAGAGAGCUGGCAAUAAUAAAGCCAUGUUACGAGCCUUAAAGACAUUGAAGUCAUUAAGGUCCCUGAAGAUGGCUACAAGA